rnacentral:rRNA from 1 species
UACGGGAGGCAGCAGUGGGGAAUAUUGCACAAUGGGCGCAAGCCUGAUGCAGCCAUGCCGCGUGUAUGAAAAAGGCCUUCGGGUUGUAAAGUACUUUCAGUCGUGAGGAAGGUGUUAAGGUUAAUAACCUUAGCAAUUGACGUUAGCGACAGAAGAAGCACCGGCUAACUCCGUGCCAGCAGCCGCGGUAAUACGGAGGGUGCGAGCGUUAAUCGGAAUUACUGGGCGUAAAGGGCACGCAGGCGGUUAAUUAAGUUGGAUGUGAAAUCCCCGGGCUUAACCUGGGAAUGGCAUUCAAGACUGGUUAGCUAGAGUCUUGUAGAGGGGGUAGAAUUCCAUGUGUAGCGGUGAAAUGCGUAGAGAUGUGGAGGAAUACCGGUGGCGAAGGCGGCCCCUGGACAAAGACUGACGCUCAUGUGCGAAAGCGUGGGGAGCAAA